GGUGGCGAGUGKKWACGGGUGAGUAAACAUCGAARCGUGCCCAUCGUGGGGGAUAACGUAGCGAAAGCAACGCUGAUACCGCAUACGAUCUACGGAUGAAAGCGGGGGAUCGCAAGACCUCGCGCGAAUGGAGCGGCCGAUGUUUGAUUARGUAGUUGGUGGGGUAAAGGCUCACCAAGCCGACGAUCUGUAGCUGGUCUGAGAGGACGACCAGCCACACUGGGACUGAGACACGGCCCAGACUCCUACGGGAGGCAGCAGUGGGGAAUUUUGGACAAUGGGCGCAAGCCUGAUCCAGCCWUUCCGCGUGCAGGAUGAAGGCCUUCGGGUUGUAAACUGCUUUUGUACGGAACGAAACAGUUCUCUCUAAUACAGGGGGCUUAUGACGGUACCGUAAGAAUAAGCACCGGUUAACUACGUGCCAGCMSCCGCGGUAAUMCUUAGGGUGCAAGCGUUAAUCGGAAUUACUGGGCGUAAAGCGUGCGCAGGCGGUUUUGUAGACMKAGGUGAAAUCCCCCGGGUUCAACCUGGGAACUGCCUUUGUGACUGAAGGCUGGAGUACGGCYAGGGGGAUGGRAUUUCCGCGUGUACAKUGAAAUGCSUAUAUUGCGGAGGAACWCC
rnacentral:rRNA from 1 species